CCUACGGGUGGCAGCAGUAGGGAAUAUUGCUCAAUGGGGGAAACCCUGAUGCAGCAACGCCGCGUGAGUGAUGACGGCCUUCGGAUUGUAAACUCCUGUUGUUAGAGAAGAUAAUGACGGUAUCUGACGAAUAAGCAACGGCUAACUACGUGCCAGCAGCCGCGGUAAUACGGAGGGGGCGAGCGUUACCCGGAUUCACUGGGCGUAAAGGGCGCGUAGGCGGGAUAGUAAGUCAGAUGUGAAAUCCUAGGGCUUAACUAUAGUACUGCAUUUGAAACUGUUAUUCUAGAGUAUGGGAGAGGGAGAUGGAAUUCCUGGUGUAGCGGUGAAAUGCGUAGAGAUUAAGAAGAAUACUCAUGGCGAAGGCGACCUACUGGACCAUAACUGACGCUGAGGCUCGAAAGCGUGGGGAGCAAACAGGAUUAGAUACCCCAGUAGUC
rnacentral:rRNA from 1 species